CAAAUUUCAAAGACUCGUUUUUGCAGAAAAGCUUACUAGUAGUGGAUCCUUAUGCAAAAUUUUUACUUCACAAAUUAAGUACUUUUCCUGAAUCUAGAUUUGCCUGGUCUAGAGCAUUCACUUGUCCUACACUAGCUUCAUUUUAUCAACUUUAAUUUCACUUGUUAUCUACGCUGAAGGUCGAAGAUCCAGUCUUCAUAUCCGAGAAGUUCGGCGAUCCGAAUCGAUUAAUACCCAGCUGAGGAUCUCCAACCACACGACAUAUGUAGCACUUAACCCUUGCAUAUGUCAACUCGCCCACGGUUUUCUCAAGACCAGAACGGGUCCCCGCCAACCGAGAGCUCAGUACCCCACCAUCCAGCCUCUUGCCAGGUGGAUACACGAUACUCUCGCCAUCUCUCCACUCCCAUUGCAGGCCGACCUUUCUGGUAUUGGUCCAACCGAGGCUAAGCUUACCCAUGAUGAGGCAUGUGGCCAGUUAAAGGGUCCUAGAUCAGCAGGCCAACAAUCGGAACGGUCCUUAAUCGACACAGACGAGCGACCUUUCCUGCUCAACGUCUGGUCUCAUUUUAUUUAAACCAUUUCCCAAUCUUUGGUACCUGACAGAGGUACUUUUUCUGGAUGUUGAAUCCAUCAUGGCCAUAUGGAUUCACCAUCCCAAUUUCUUUUUCACAAAAAUUUCCCAUAUCCCAUGUAACACAUCAUUUUUUUAAAAAAAAAACAACUUUUAAUUAUCUAAGCAGGGCUAAGCAUCUUUAGUUCUCUUUAUAAAACAGGAAUCAAGGAAGAUAAUCAAAUUCCAAGGAAUGGCAAUGCAUCAAUUGUUUCAUCACUCAACUCCUAUCACCUAAUGCAACAUAUAAGUGAUAAAAGUUUUAUAACAACAAGGAGGUGGCAAAUGCACCGGGGCUUGCCUGGGAUAACACUACGUUAGUGUUGUUAGAUGAUGACCACUUGGUGAGCAUCUUCCAUUCUGGCACUCUAUCAGAUCAUCCAUCUUUAGGUUCGUUCACCAGCAUCAUUUUGAGAUCAACUCGGCUCUUGUCCUUCGCAUCACGUGUAACGAACCUGAAUGAUAUGCAUAAUGCACAUGAAUGCUUAUGAGCAGGAAUAGCACAAGAUAAACAAUGCUACAGUAGAAAGCUAAACACUUAAUGGUGAGGCGCAAACAACACCCAUAAGUAAACGCUAGACAUCGAUAAAUGGCUAAAAACCAUAAUCUCGCUUCUUUAACUCAAGCAUCAAGCCUCAAAAGGCUGCACAUAAAUCUUAAUCUCAUGAACUAGAGUAUCCUACCGAAGGAUUAACACCACUCUUAGUAUUAAUGAACAACUCAUUAUUAACAAGCAUAGAAUUCUAUGGAAUAAAAAUUAUCUUAACUUAAAGGCCUAAAACACUUGUAUGCAUAAACACUAGACACCUCUAACUCUACACCCAAAAUAUUGUCAAAUAGCCUAGUAUUCUGUAAAACAAUAGGCUCAACAAAUUUGAAGAUUUAAAGCACUUAUGUGCACUAACCAUCACAAAAUUCUCAUGUUUCAGUUGAAAUCGACUUAUUGAUACUACUCGUUUUUAGACACUCAGGGCAGCAAGCAACAUCAAAUCAAGGUAUCUAAUCGUUCACUAAACAUUUAGUAUAAAGACUACUAGUAAAGCAUUAUCGUGUUCAAAUAAAUCAAAGAAGUAUAACAAUACUGAUAGAACCUAUCUUAGAAUAAGGACAGAAGCAUUACAGCUAGCCUUCUAAACUUAAAUGGUACAUUACAGAUUAAUAUAUUAUUGUCUAAAAUCUAAGUGUACUAUCUAACAAGAUGAAUAUAUGAAUAUACUGGUUUGGAAAUAAUACGGAGAUAUACCAGAAGACGUAACCCAUUCUAGUUUACAUUAGAAUUCAACAAGUAAUAUAUAUACCCACAUGAAGAUGAAUUAUACUGCACUAAUAAAUAUUUAUCUAAGGUAUUUAACCGGUCAUUAAUAGAGAAUAUAAUACUACUAAAGCCUAGCAUGGAUUACUAUCACCACUAUAUUAAACCAGUCUUCAACAAUCAAAAUUUAACUAAUUCUAUCAAGCCAAAUAAGAAUGACUCCAAACAAUCAAUUUACCACACGCAGAUUUUUUCUGGACAGCAGCAUAGCAGUCAACGGUUUUGCUCAUAAUUUACAAAAUAUCCAUCCAAAAAUAGUAAACUAAGAUUUUUUUGGAAAGCUUAUAAAGUCCUCUACAACUUUGGUACUAUCAUCACAAUGAGAUUCGAUAUUUAGAAAUGUCAAACAGUACUAAACGUAAAUUCUGUCCAGAUUUGGACAGAAUUCGACUACUUACUUCAAAACUCCAUAACUAGAGUUUCAGGAAUCCAAAUCUGGUGAUCCUAGACUUUUUAGAAAGCUAACAUAAUUUUCUACAAUUCAUUUAUAAACAUCUCAUGUUAAUUCAAUACAUAUCAAAGUCAGUUCAUACAAACAGACUUCUCUAUCCAGAUUUGGACAGAUUCAGACUCUAUAGUUAAAACAGCUGUAACUUGGUCUCUAGACCACCAAAAAGGGUGCUCUAAAAUUUGUUGGAAAGCUUAAAAAAAUACUAUAACUCUCCUAUAAUUACUGAGAGCUGAUUCUCAGUUUAAUUUAGUCAAACAGGGCAAUUUUCGAAAUCAGUACAAAAUUUGGACAGAUUCUGAAACUGGACUUGGAAAAUUCAUAACUCCUAAACUAUUAGUCCUAUGGUCAUGAAAUUUUUACACAAGUAAGAUGAAGAGGUUAGCUACAACUUUUCUAUAUAACACUUUCACAGAAAACAUGAUUUAAUUCACUCAAUUAGUUGCACAAUCAAAACUGUACGUGCAGGUUUGGACAGCAAUACUGUCAUCACUUAUUUUAACCAUAACCAUGAAUAUAAUCAUGUCACUAUCCACGAAGAGGUAUCACCACUAACUCAUGAUGCAUAUAUAUUCACCAAACACAUCUAUGCAAUUCAUCUAACAAUUCAAUCAAUAGUAAUAAUGAAUUAGCUUACCAACACUAAAUAGACUCGGAUUUCACAAGAGCAACAAGGAUCUCCGGUUCAUCCAUUCCAUCAAACACCUAGAGCGCGUCGAACUGAAACACUGUUUCUUCUCCAUCGAUUUCCCUAGAACUCUCUUCCAAUCUCACACACAAACACAUAGAGUUUCACAAGCGUCUUGACAUGGACAACAAACUGAAAUCAAAAUACAACACGCAAGGACUAGGGAAACAAUAAAGAGAUUUGGAGCUCACCACUUGACAAAAGGGAGGGGGCUGGCGCUUGGGCUUUCAUUCAUGGAGAACAAAAGAAGAAGGGGGAAGCUGCUGCUGGCGUGGGGAGAAAUCAGGGAGAGCAGAGAGGGGCGGCCAUGAGGGGGCUAGGAACCUGGCUAGGGGCUUUGACGCCAUGGGAAGCUGGAGCACGCCACAAACAGAGAGGGGCUGGGCGAGCUCAGCUUGGGGAGGAAGAUGAGGGAGGGGCGGCCAUGACAGGAGGAGGAAGAUGGCCGUAGUUUCUGGAUCGAUGAAGACGACUGAGAAUGGGAUAAGGGAGGGGCUGGUCGCUGGAGGCCUGGAGAGGAUGAGGUUGAGAGACACGGACGUGUGUGUAGGGAUGGGUACCGUGACUUCUAGAGUUCACUGCGGAUAAUGAGAGGAGGAUACGGUUUGGAUAAAUCAAAGGCAAAAUGGUGGAGAUGAUAAGUUAGGAUUCUUUUUUUUAAUAAUCUAUGGAUAAAUACGGGUGCUCGAAUUAACAUUUAAUAGAUGCAAAUCGAUUGGACCAAAAUGAGAUCGGUGAUAAUAGUUGAACAGUGUUUGAUUUGGUAGGUAUUCUCAGAAUCAGAUAAAUUUUUAUGAGAUAUUUAUACCCGAACGUUUGAAUAUAGGCGAGAUACAAUCGGAACGAACUGGAACGAUGUCAACACCGAUAUUUUAGACCGCGUUCAAUUUGAUUUGAAAUCAAAUAAUUUCAUCUGUAGUCUGAACACCUGAUUCCACGGCUAUAGAUAAUUUACUGGAGAAACAGAUCUCAUUUAUAAAUCCUUGGAUGUGAUGAUUUCUCGGUUGGCAAGUAACCACUAAAUUAUUUUAUACCCAAAAACUUAGUCGUCGACUUCUAAUAAAUUUAUUUGGGGCUGAAAUCGGAGGACUGAACUAAAUUUUUAAGUUCGUAUUUGCACGAUCGAUGAGUUUUAAAUAAUCACCAAACUCACUAAUUUUCGGAACAAAUACAUUCUGACUUCGCGAAACAUUUAGAGUAGGCUGGAUAGACAGAGAUGAAAAUGAUAUCGAAAUUAUGAUCUUUUCGAAAGCGACAUCACGCAUCGCUCACGAGAGCGAGAGGCUGUGCGCUGUCCAGACACCGGUUAGCACCUGCCACGCGCCACGAUGCUAGGCCACAGAGAGACACAUGCAACGCAAGCGUGAAAGAAUUUCAAAUGAAGUUUAAGAAACCAGAAUCGAUUUCAAGGAUUAGAGUUUGGGCAAGACGUCGAUGGCUCAACCCAAACAAUCCUGGAUUCGAUGUUCCAAAAAUUACCAAAGGCUGAAUUAAAAAAUAUAGAUUUGGAAAAAUUUAGACAGACGGAAACAAACACGAUAUCAAAAUUGUGAUAAAUGAGGUUGAUUAAAAUUUAGUGACCUUUACAUUCAUAGCUAUCACGUGUUAAAGUCCGCAAUCGUGGUCGAGCAGACGAUAAACACCUGGGGUGUUACAAUCCUCCCCCCUUAAAAGAAUCUCGUCCCGAGAUUCGGAGCGAAAGACUUUUAAGAGUAGAGAAGCAUGUAACUCCUGUCCAUACUAGUGAUAGCAUAAGCUAGUUUCAAGUGAAGACGAGUGUCUCAGAAUGUUGUUUCUCUAGUGGGUAUAGCAUGUAUCACUUUCCAGCUAAGCAGAGAGGUCAACCAUCAGAGUCGGUCUCAGCCAGAAGAACACUUAAGGCUCCAUGUGUGCAGUUGCCACUAAGAUCAAGAGAAAGGAGUCCUCACAUGAAAAGGGUGAUUUUAUCACACGAUCAGACACAUAUAGGUUUCAAUUUUUGAUGAAAGCUUCUAAACUGGUAAGAACUUUACUUAAGGAAUACAUCUGAGUUAUAUACUCUUUUGAUCUAACAGUGAUGGCAUAUGUAGCUUGAUCAUUCUAACAAACAACAUAGAAAUCAUUUCAACGAAGUAGUCUACGAAAGAUAACAUGUCAGUGUAGUUCCAUAAUGGAUCAUAGCCAGAGACUUCGAUACCAGCGUACCGAACAACACUACCAUGUGUCAGCCGCCACAUGAGACUUUCGGUUUUACGCGGCACCAUAAGUCAUUAACUGGGACACCAUCAUCGAACUAGCACCGAUAAUGAAUCUCACGUGGUAAGAACAAUUUGCGCAAAGAUAACAUAUCGAUAUAGUCUCAUAAUGGAUUAUGACUACUAACUGUGAUACCAGCGCGUGCCAAGUAGCGCAACCAUGUGUUGAUCACCCACAGGAGGCCCUCGGUUUCGUCGCAGCACCAUCAGUUUUAGUCAUAACACCAUUGCCAGAUGUAAUCAAUAAGAAAUCUCACAUGGCAUAGAUAGACUGAGCAAGGGUGACAAUAUACAAAGAGACUCUACCUGUCAAAAUAAUUGCAAGUAGAGAGUCAAAUAGAUCAUGGCCAAAACCUAAAUUGGAUGAUGAAGGGAGUAUGAUGGGAGACUGUUAUUUCAGGCCCAAGCAUAUUUCUAUGCCCAUCGCAGCAAUUUCAAGGUCAAGGAUGAGCGUCUGAUUAAAUACGCAGGAAAAAAACGAUCGGAAGAUUAAAUUAAUAUGCCUUCGAGAGCUAUGAGGAAACCAUAGGCAUUCAAUUCGAGAAAACGACUAGGCAUUCCUUUCCUAGGUUAGAUUGAGAAACCGACAAUGUGAUCCUCAAGCAGAGGCAAACUGGAAUAGGGAUACCAGUUUGCACCAACCGAACAAGUCGAAGCUUAGGAGGAAAACAUGACCACUGAAGAGUCACAUAUUAAACGACGAAAAGACGUACUCGAGAUCCUUGUCUUAAAUUUAGGUGCAUUUAUUUUCUACGAGAAGAUUACCUAAACACCUAUUUAGAUAAGCUUGGUCCUAAAGUAACGAUGGAAAUUCAGACUCGUCCACUUUUGAAAACUGGGAAAAAUUUCAGGGAAUUAACAUCGAUUUGGGUCAUGGCUCCUAGAUGAGGACAUGGCCAAAUUUUUAGUUUACACAAACAUACCACCAACAUUCUACCGGCACAAACACACCAGAACAAACACAAGUUGGACUAGCGGUCAAACUAAGAAGAACCAUAGGCCACAUAAAUACAUGUCUAAAGGACCCAACAAACAAGACUAGAAAUUUGCUUAUAGGAUAGUAAUGCUUCACACAUUUUCCAAUUAUUUAUUAUCGGGAUAAAGAUGAGGGAAGCACGUUCGUUCACAAUCAUGAAUUAUUAGAAUAAAGAUGAGAGAAGCAUAUUUGUGCACAAAUGACAAACACAAUGCAACAAUCAGGAUGCAUGCUCGUCCUAUUCGUCCUCACGAAUUUCGCCAACAUAAUGUGGCAAUAGCGUUCUAUAUCGGUGGCAUAUCUACGUUCUCUCUCGGUAUAUUGCUAGUCGUCAGCUACACAUACGUUUCGAAGUUAGUGUACCUGCAGAAAACUUCAUCACAGCCCAUUUCCCAAUGAUGCAAUUCACACAUGCCAAUUUAUCACAGUUUAUACUCCAUAUAUUUCUAUAUGGAGGCCAGCUCCUCAUUAAGCGCCGAGCCACGCAUAGGCGCCGCUACCACACUUUAACCACAGGGCAUCCCAUUAUGGUAACUCACCUUCUUACCUGAGCGUAGGUGCAUCGUUGCGAGUACAUUACAUUUCUCAGUAGUCCCAUGUCUGUAUGCCCAUACACAUUUAUGGGGUACUGAAUCCCCAGAAAAGUAAUUACUCCACAUCGCAGCCUUCAUAUAUACAUAUGUGUAACAUGUAUAUAAUCAAGCGCUUUUUAUACUCUCCCCUAGACCGACGUUUGUUCGGUCAUGCUCUCACAUCUCACCUUACCUGAGCGUCGAUCCAUUCAAAACUGAAUGGCUUUAAAAAAAACAUUACACAUGUAUGCAUUACCCUUCCCAGGUUGUGGGUCAGUAUUCUGAAUUAGGCCACCUAGUAGUCCUUAAUUUAGGGCUUAACAGAGGAUGUCGCUAGCAUUAUAGUUUUUCAAAUCUGUUUUUCAAAACCAAACAAUGUGUUUAGUUGAAAAUAGGUUUUCUAAAACCAAAACCUUGUUUUAAAAAUACGUAUGUGACCGUAUUAUACUUAAUACAGCUCCGAUACCAGCUGUCGCAGAACCUCCCAAGUUAUCGGGCCCACAUGCACCUGUCCUUGUCUCAAAGACCUCAGACAGCUAUGCAUGUGCACCAAACAACUUAACAGGAUCUGUCCGAGUGCCCCGAGGACCUCGGAUAAACGACUUACCGCCAAGAUCGCAGGAUUAAGUAAACACAACUCACAUACAAACACUUGCAGCGGAAAUAAAUUCUUUAUUACAAAAUGAUUACAAGUUACAACAUUUACAAGUUAUAACAAGAUUACAAUAUAUAUCAUCGGAGUUGAUUACAAAAGAAAUUGAUUCAAAAAGAUUACAAUUUGAAUGUAUAAAACAUUUAUAAGUUUUAAAAUACAUGCUAGCUUAAGUGACAAUCCUCAAUAAGGAAGCUAAAGAUGGGAUAUACUUAUAUAAGAAGGCCGAGCCCACCGGCACUUAGCACCAUCCACAACAGAACAAAAUUACAACCUGAAAAACAACAGGGAAUAAAACCCUGAGUACGCAAUUACUCAGCAAGACUUACCCGACUAAAGAAAAGACUCUCAAGGGUAUGCUGGAUUUAAGGGAUUCAAGGUAAAGCUCGUCAAAUUUCUAAGACUCGUUUUUGCAGAAAAGCUUACUAGUAGUGGAUCCUUAUGCAAAAUUUUUACUUCACAAAUUAAGUACUUUUCCUGAAUCUAGAUUUGCCUGGUCUAGAGCAUUCACUUGUCCUACACUAGCUUCAUUUUAUCAACUUUAAUUUCACUUGUUAUCUACGCUGAAGGUCGAAGAUCCAGUCUUCAUAUCCGAGAAGUUCGGCGAUCCGAAUCGAUUAAUACCCAGCUGGGGAUCUCCAACCACACGACAUAUGUAGCACUUAACCCUUGCAUAUGUCAACU
rnacentral:lncRNA from 1 species